AACGAACGCUGGCGGCAUGCCUAACACAUGCAAGUCGAACGAGACCUUCGGUCGUAGUGGCGCACGGGUGCGUAACGCGUGGGAACCUGCCUUUAGGUUCGGAAUAACUCUCCGAAAGGGGUGCUAAUACCGAAUAAUGUCUUCGGACCAAAGAUUUAUCGCCUUUAGAUGGGCCCGCGUUGGAUUAGCUAGUUGGUGGG
rnacentral:rRNA from 1 species